rnacentral:lncRNA from 7 species
GGAGAAGGAUGGGAACUCCAGCUCAGGAGCUUGGUUUCCCCACUUCUCUUCCAAUGUAAAAUGAACGGGAAAUCAGACCUGAAAUGGAUUCCUGCCUCUCUACACAUUCUUGCCCUGUACACUGUUCCCUUUCUGCUGAAAAGAGCUUUCUGAAGGCCAUCUGUUGCACUUCAGCACAUUCUUGGGAAUGUCUGCUUAGGAACUAAAACUAAGGGAUUGCUUCCCCUGAUAUUCCUAGCAUGAAAUACACUACCUGCUCAGAGAGACAAGGCCUCAAAUGUCCGGAGGCACUGUUGGUUUCCAGUCUCUCUUCUCUUUCUUCACAGGAAGGACAGAGGAGACAAAUACCUCUUGGGGCCAAGAAUCCAUGCGGGAAGAGAUGGAGAAGAUUCUGAGCGAGAAACUGGCUGUGUUGCAGAGACAACUGGAGAUGACCCAGCAAGCAAUCCCCCCCAUGAAGGAAAUGACCAACACCUGGGCCUCCCUUCAAAAACUCCCUGAGAACAUGCAAGCCCUGCAGAAAGGUUUGGAGAAUCUGCAGGUGUCCACAAAGGAAGACCUUCAGACGCUCAGAGCAGACCUGGAGGAAAGAGUACCAAAAGCAUGGAAUGUACCCGAAAGGUCUGAGUCUAAAGAGAGUCUGGUGGAGGUGGAGAACCAGGCAGGAAGGACGGUGGAGAUGAUCACCUCCAUGGCCAUGGAAUCCAUGCGGGAAGAGAUGGAGAAGAUUCUGAGCGAGAAACUGGCUGUGUUGCAGAGACAACUGGAGAUGACCCAGCAAGCAAUCCCCCCCAUGAAGGAAAUGACCAACACCUGGGCCUCCCUUCAAAAACUCCCUGAGAACAUGCAAGCCCUGCAGAAAGGUUUGGAGAAUCUGCAGGUGUCCACAAAGGAAGACCUUCAGACGCUCAGAGCAGACCUGGAGGAAAGAGUACCAAAAGCAUGGAAUGUACCCGAAAGGUCUGAGUCUAAAGAGAGUCUGGUGGAGGUGGAGAACCAGGCAGGAAGGACGGUGGAGAUGAUCACCUCCAUGGCCAUGGAAUCCAUGCGGGAAGAGAUGGAGAAGAUUCUGAGCGAGAAACUGGCUGUGUUGCAGAGACAACUGGAGAUGACCCAGCAAGCAAUCCCCCCCAUGAAGGAAAUGACCAACACCUGGGCCUCCCUUCAAAAACUCCCUGAGAACAUGCAAGCCCUGCAGAAAGGUUUGGAGAAUCUGCAGGUGUCCACAAAGGAAGACCUUCAGACGCUCAGAGCAGACCUGGAGGAAAGAGUACCAAAAGCAUGGAAUGUACCCGAAAGGUCUGAGUCUAAAGAGAGUCUGGUGGAGGUGGAGAACCAGGCAGGAAGGACGGUGGAGAUGAUCACCUCCAUGGCCAUGGAAUCCAUGCGGGAAGAGAUGGAGAAGAUUCUGAGCGAGAAACUGGCUGUGUUGCAGAGACAACUGGAGAUGACCCAGCAAGCAAUCCCCCCCAUGAAGGAAAUGACCAACACCUGGGCCUCCCUUCAAAAACUCCCUGAGAACAUGCAAGCCCUGCAGAAAGGUUUGGAGAAUCUGCAGGUGUCCACAAAGGAAGACCUUCAGACGCUCAGAGCAGACCUGGAGGAAAGAGUACCAAAAGCAUGGAAUGUACCCGAAAGGUCUGAGUCUAAAGAGAGUCUGGUGGAGGUGGAGAACCAGGCAGGUGAGCAUGGCACCCCUUGAGAAAGCCUUCCUCUCCCUGUGCUGUAACUCCUAAGUGUAGCUCAGGAGCACACAAACACUCACACAGUCUCCUCUAAUGAGAUGGGAGGGAGAACUGAAAAGGUCAAGGUGAGAAAAGAGCAGUUUGGGAAAAGCUAAUUUAACAGGUGAAGUGAACAGUGGGCACACAUGAAAAUGAACAUCAGGAAUUCAUUGUCUACUUCCCACUGUCAUGCAGAUUUCAGCAGUUUCCAGGAAAGCAGGGCUAUAUUGUGUAUAAUUUAAUGCA